AUUACGUCCCUGCCCUUUGUACACACCGCCCGUCGCUACUACCGAUUGAAUGGCUUAGUGAGGCCUUCGGAUUGAGGAUCGGAAGCUGGCAACAGCAUCUGUUCCUUGAAAAGUUGGUCAAACUUGGUCAUUUUGAGGAAGUAAAAGUCGUAACUAGGUUUCCGUAGGUGAACCUGCGGAAGGAUCAUUA
rnacentral:rRNA from 1 species